CAAAUCUGGAGAGUGCCGAUUACAUGAAACUCGCGCAGCGAGCCUUUAUCUCCCUCGCCCAUUUAUGGGAGAGGGAUGGGGAGAGGGGUAGUUGGCCACCGAAGGGGCACACAACGCAGGUUGUAAUCUCUCAGGUAUCAGGGACAGAUGGGG
rnacentral:ncRNA from 2 species